UACGUAGGGGGCAAGCGUUGUCCGGAUUUAUUGGGCGUAAAGGGUGCGUAGGCGGGUUUUUAAGUCAGGGGUGAAAUCCUGGAGCUCAACUCCAGAACUGCCUUUGAUACUGAAGAUCUUGAGUCCGGGAGAGGUGAGUGGAACUGCGAGUGUAGAGGUGAAAUUCGUAGAUAUUCGCAAGAACACCAGUGGCGAAGGCGGCUCACUGGCCCGGUACUGACGCUGAGGCACGAAAGCGUGGGGAGCAAACAGG
rnacentral:rRNA from 1 species